CUUCUGUCUUAUCGCUUGGCUGCCUCGCAAAUUAAAACCCUUUUGGCAUUUUGACUUCGGGCAUGGGGCAAAACGAACCUGGUCCAGGAACACUACCUUAAGGCCUGGAACAAGAAUGCAGCUCAGGGCUAUCCAGUUGGCGUCUGCCUACACUUACGUUUUGCAAGACCUGGUCUCUCGCAAGGUGUACACGUCUCCACAGACAGAGAUCUCGCGCCAGACCCCAGGCUGGGACUCCUCAGUGAAGCCCCCUCUCGGAUGCAUCACCAGGACACCAUUGGUCGUGAGCCCAUCCAUGUGGCCAUCGGGGUUUUUCCACUUUGCUGCCUUUUCCUGGAGAGCAUACCACAGAAAAGAUUAUGUUCAACACAAAAAGAUUCUAGAAUCUCUUUAAAAUAUUGGGUAAGGGCAGAGGGGAGGAAAGUGAGGAAUUUUCAUUU